rnacentral:rRNA from 1 species
GACGAACGCUGGCGGCGUGCUUAACACAUGCAAGUCGAGCGGUAAGGCCCUUUCGGGGGUACACGAGCGGCGAACGGGUGAGUAACACGUGGGUGACCUGCCCUCAGCUCUGGGAUAAGCCUGGGAAACCGGGUCUAAUACCGGAUAUGACUCCAUGACGCAUGUUGUGGGGUGGAAAGCCUUGUGCGGCUGAGGAUGGGCCCGCGGCCUAUCAGCUUGUUGGUGGGGUGAUGGCCUACCAAGGCGACGACGGUAGCCGGCCUGAGAGGGCGACCGGCCACACUGGGACUGAGACACGGCCCAGACUCCUACGGGAGGCAGCAGUGGGGAAUCUUGCGCAAUGGGCGAAAGCCUGACGCAGCGACGCCGCGUGAGGGAUGACGGCCUCGG